AUUUUGAUCUGUCUAUUGCUAUUUAAGUACACAUUAUUUACCAAAUCCUGUUCAGGCGCUCUCAAUAUGUAUUCACCACACCUGCUAUACCCCUUAUUGAGGAGACAAACUCACACAUGCUCACAAUUAUAUCUGUUGAUUGCUAAGCUCUUCGCGAAAAAACCCAAAACCCGCCGCAGUUUCUGCCAUUAUGCCACACUUAAUUCUACUUAUCGAAAUUGUAAACAAGUUUAUUGAUAUUUUUGCAAAAUAUUACGCAGCGCUUAAAAUAGCCAACCUUCCCAUAUUUACCGUGACUCUGCAUCGAUCAAUGCUGCUAUCAACGCUAUAAAGAGCGCGCUCUCUCUGGCUCUUGUAAGUGGUUUAAACUUAGUUACCACGCUGUUGGCGGGGAAACAUCAAGUCCAAUGCGUUUGUGGCUUGCGUUGAAGUCUUUUGUGGAAUGUUGUGGAACAUAAGUUAACGCGGCACUUUCAAGUCAUUGAGUAAUUGGUGGUUUUGUAAAUUAUAAUAAAAUAUAAAAAGAAUUAUGAAGAAAUGUGGAAAAAAAAUACUCUCUGUGCAAUUAGUAAAUGCCAAAGCAGCAGUUGUCAGAUAUUAUUCUUGCACAACUGAAAUGAUUUUGAUGAUCCUUAACAUGAUAAAUUCAGUAGAUUAUUCGGCUAAUCAGUUAUCCGUACUAAAAGGUUGACAACGCUACAAGAUUUUAGGGUCAGCCGGGUUGACCAUCGACCAUUUUUUCACAAUACUAAAAAAAAAAUAUUUGAAUGGGCAAACAACAUAAGAGGGCGGUUCUCGUGUAGUACAGAAGUAGAAAAAUUGGAAAAGGGCAAUAUCGAUGAUGUGAUUUGAUUCUGUUUUUGGAAGUGAUUUUUCGUAAUAAAAUCAAAGUCAGUGACACUUCUUCUUUAAUGGCGACUUCAAAAAUUGAUUUACAGUAUUGGCAUAUAUACCGCAGGUUGAAGAUGGGCGAGAUGUCAAGAGACCGCGCUCAUCAAUCUUAUUGAACUUGAAAACUCUGUCGGUGUCGUUUGCUGGCUCCGGAUCGUGAUACCACUUCACCUCAGUAUUGUAAUGUUUCUUUGAUUAUUUUACUAGAAUUCAUUAGUAGUAAUAUUAUGAUGUAUAUAUAUGUAUAUAAAUAAUAAAGAAAUUCGAUAUAUUUCCAGUCAUA